rnacentral:rRNA from 1 species
GUACACUCCUACGGGAGGCAGCAGUGGGGAAUUUUGGACAAUGGGCGAAAGCCUGAUCCAGCAAUGCCGCGUGUGUGAAGAAGGCCUUCGGGUUGUAAAGCACUUUUGUCCGGAAAGAAAUCCUUGGCUCUAAUACAGUCGGGGGAUGACGGUACCGGAAGAAUAAGCACCGGCUAACUACGUGCCAGCAGCCGCGGUAAUACGUAGGGUGCGAGCGUUAAUCGGAAUUACUGGGCGUAAAGCGUGCGCAGGCGGUUUGCUAAGACCGAUGUGAAAUCCCCGGGCUCAACCUGGGAACUGCAUUGGUGACUGGCAGGCUAGAGUAUGGCAGAGGGGGGUAGAAUUCCACGUGUAGCAGUGAAAUGCGUAGAGAUGUGGAGGAAUACCGAUGGCGAAGGCAGCCCCCUGGGCCAAUACUGACGCUCAUGCACGAAAGCGUGGGGAGCAAACAGGAUUAGAAACCCGAGUAGUCC